rnacentral:rRNA from 1 species
CCUACGGGUGGCAGCAGUGAGGAAUAUUGGUCAAUGGCCGGAAGGCUGAACCAGCCAAGUCGCGUGAGGGACGACUGCCCUAUGGGUUGUAAACCUCUUUUAUAAGGGAAGAAUAAAUGCUACGUGUAGCAUGAUGCCUGUACCUUAUGAAUAAGCAUGGGCUAACUCCGUGCCAGCAGCCGCGGUAAUACGGAGGAUGCGAGCGUUAUCCGGAUUUAGUGGGUUUAAAGGGUGCGUAGGCGGUUUUUUAAGUUAGUGGUUAAACGUCGGGGCUUCACCUUGAUUUGCCAUUAAUACUGUAUGACUCGAGUUCAGACGAGGUAGGCGGAAUAAGUUAAGUAGCGGUGAAAUGCUUAGAUAUAACUUAGAACUCCGAUAGCGAAGGCAGCUUACCGGACUGCGACUGACGCUGAAGCACGAGAGCGUGGGUAGCGAACAGGAUUAGAUACCCUGGUAGUC